rnacentral:lncRNA from 1 species
GUGGAGUCCUUGCGGGUUUCCCGAUGUUAGUCCAUUUCUUGCAGCUUGGUGAGGAAAAGGCCCCCAUCAGUCCCCUGAAUCAUUGCUGUUUUCAAAGCUGAGCAUGAAGGUUCUUUUGGCAGCAUAGAGUCUUAUUUCAUCCAUAAUUCCAGAGUCUGUUUUAUUUAUGCUUUCUGUAUCUUCUCUCUACAGGAGGGGACUUGGAGUCCUCUUCUCUGGGAUCUAAGACUUCCCAUCUUUCCUAUGUGAGCCCAGAGAACUAACAUAUUCACGAAGACAUUUUCAGAGAAUCAUCGGUGGGCAUGUCUCCCAUUACACAGAAGGAAGAUGCCAACGUCACUUAAACUUGUUGGAACAAUUUGUUCUCCCUCUGGUAAAGAUUCUGUCAUUUCCUCAAAUGUCAUAACAAAUGAACAAAGAUCAUAAUAUUCUCUAGUAGUCUAGGAAGAAAAACCUCGUGAGAAAAUUAUCAGAGAAACAGAAAUCUUAUUGGUCUCCAUAGAGUUUCAUGGUUUUUUUUUUUUUCCUUUUAAUAGAGGAGUCAGGGGAAAAUAUAAAUAAAAAUAUUGUUUUCAAUAUAUUUGGGUGAUUGUGUAGUUGUCGGGAACAGAAAGUCUCUACUGAACUUUACUAAGAAAAUCUGUAAUAUUUUUACCGUUUUCUGGGAUGGCAUCUGACACAUUUCAUUGUACUCAACAGAAUAAGUUAGAAAACCUCUUACCAGAAUACCUCCAAUAGUUUUUUUUUUUUUUGUGUGUGUGUGUGUGUGCAAAUAAAACACAGACCAGCAUGGAACAUAAAAAGGACCUUUGGUAUUUGGUGUUGGAAAAAUGGCCUCUUGGAUCCAGAGCUCUUUAGGAGUCAUGGGUUCUUGGAUAGAAUUACUGAGAAAAAGAAGUCAGAAUUACCCAGGAGGCUGCGGGCUUUUGCUGAGCAGAUGCCAGAGAGGCUGAGGAUGGGUGAGCAAAGUGCAGUAACGCAGAGCACAUGGCAAAUACAGCGUGUAUGGUGGCAAUAUUCACUAGACUGUUACCAGAGAAGUCUCAGCAGUGUGAGAAACUUCAAAAUCCUGCUGCACUGAGUGGGCUCUUUUUAUUCCAGGUAAGAAUAGUCUGAUUUCUUAAAGAUGUCAUGCUGGCUGGCCGUUUAUGCAUGAUGUGAUUGCUUGGAUUGAGUCCACCAUAAAUAAGCUCCAUGCUAACAACUCCUUGGCUAUUUAUUGAUUGGAUGUAAAUCACAUCCAAUCCCUACCCACUGUUCACUCUGACAGGAGUUUUUAGAGUACCACGGGCAUCCUCUUAGGAAGGGAGGGUGAUGAAAGCUCAGCAAACAUCACCCUGAUUAUAAGCCAUC